UUGACCUCGGAUCAGGUAGGAAUACCCGCUGAACUUAAGCAUAUCAAUAAGCGGAGGAAAAGAAACCAACAGGGAUUGCCUCAGUAACGGCGAGUGAAGCGGCAACAGCUCAAAUUUGAAAUCUGGCCCCAGGCCCGAGUUGUAAUUUGCAGAGGAUGCUUUGGGCGCGGCGCCUUCCGAGUUCCCUGGAACGGGACGCCAUAGAGGGUGAGAGCCCCGUACGGUCGGACGCCUAGCCUGUGUAAAGCUCCUUCGACGAGUCGAGUAGUUUGGGAAUGCUGCUCAAAAUGGGAGGUAUAUUUCUUCUAAAGCUAAAUACCGGCCAGAGACCGAUAGCGCACAAGUAGAGUGAUCGAAAGAUGAAAAGCACUUUGAAAAGAGGGUUAAACAGCACGUGAAAUUGUUAAAGGGGAAGCGCUUGUGACCAGACUUGCGUCCGGUGAAUCAUCCAGCCUUCUGGCUGGUGCACUUCGCCGGCUCAGGCCAGCAUCAGCUCGCUGUCGGGGACAAAAGCUUCGGGAACGUAGCUCCUCUCGGGGAGUGUUAUAGCCCGUUGCAUAAUACCCUUCGGCGGGCUGAGGUACGCGCUCCGCAAGGAUGCUGGCGUAAUGGUCAUCAGCGACCCGUCUUGAAACACGGACCAAGGAGUCAACCUUAUGUGCGAGUGUUUGGGUGUUAAACCCCUACGCGUAAUGAAAGUGAACGCAGGUGAGAGCUUCGGCGCAUCAUCGACCGAUCCUGAUGUUCUCGGAUGGAUUUGAGUAAGAGCAUAUAGGGUUGGACCCGAAAGAAGGUGAACUAUGCGUGUAUAGGGUGAAGCCAGAGGAAACUCUGGUGGAGGCUCGCAGCGGUUCUGACGUGCAAAUCGAUCGUCAAAUAUGCGCAUGGGGGCGAAAGACUAAUCGAACCUUCUAGUAGCUGGUUUCCGCCGAAGUUUCCCUCAGGAUAGCAGUGUUGAGCUCAGUUUUAUGAGGUAAAGCGAAUGAUUAGGGACUCGGGGGCGCUAUAUUGCCUUCAUCCAUUCUCAAACUUUAAAUAUGUAAGAAGCCCUUGUUACUUAACUGAACGUGGGCAUUCGAAUGUAUCAACACUAGUGGGCCAUUUUUGGUAAGCAGAACUGGCGAUGCGGGAUGAACCGAACGCGAGGUUAAGGUGCCAGAGUAGACGCUCAUCAGACACCA
rnacentral:rRNA from 1 species